UGAGUUUGAUUAUGGCUCAGGAUGAACGCUAGCGGCAGGCCUAAUACAUGCAAGUCGAGGGGUAACAGGAAGUGCUUGCACUUCGCUGACGACCGGCGCACGGGUGAGUAUCGCGUAUACAAUCUGCCUCAUACUAGGGAAUAGCCCGAAGAAAUUUGGAUUAAUGCCCUAUAGUAUCUUUUUAAGGCAUCUUAUUAAGAUUAAAGGUUACGGUAUGAGAUGAGUAUGCGUUCUAUUAGCUAGUAGGUGUGGUAACGGCACACCUAGGCUACGAUAGAUAGGGGCCCUGAGAGGGGGAUCCCCCACACUGGUACUGAGACACGGACCAGACUCCUACGGGAGGCAGCAGUAAGGAAUAUUGGUCAAUGGACGAAAGUCUGAACCAGCCAUGCCGCGUGCAGGAUGACUGCCCUAUGGGUUGUAAACUGCUUUUAUAUAGGAAGAAAAACUUUCUCGUGAGAAAGCUUGACGGUACUAUAAGAAUAAGGAUCGGCUAACUCCGUGCCAGCAGCCGCGGUAAUACGGAGGAUCCAAGCGUUAUCCGGAAUCAUCGGGUUUAAAGGGUCCGUAGGUGGACAAAUAAGUCAGAGGUGAAAUCCUGCAGCUCAACUGUAGAACUGCCUUUGAUACUGUUUGUCUUGAGUUAUUAUGAAGUGGUUAGAAUGUGUAGUGUAGCGGUGAAAUGCAU
rnacentral:rRNA from 1 species